rnacentral:rRNA from 1 species
GACGUAGGGUGCAGGCGUUGUCCGGAAUUAUUGGGCGUAAAGAGCUCGUAGGCGGUUUGUUGCGUCGGCUGUGAAAUCCCGAGGCUCAACCUCGGGUCUGCAGUCGAUACGAGCAAACUAGAGUGUUGCAGGGGAGACUGGAAUUCCUGGUGUAGCGGUGAAAUGCGCAGAUAUCAGGAGGAACACCGGUGGCGAAGGCGGGUCUCUGGGCAACAACUGACGCUGAGGAGCGAAAGCGUGGGGAGCGAACAGG